rnacentral:rRNA from 1 species
UGUGAGUGUGUAAGAGCGCAUGGUGGAUGCCUUGGCAUCAGGAGCCGAUGAAGGACGUGGAAAUCUGCGAUAAGCCUCGGGGAGCCGAUAAACGGGCUGUGAUCCGAGGAUGUCCGAAUGGGGGAACCCCGCCGCAUGCGAGUGCGGUGACCCGCACCUGAAUAUAUAGGGUGUGUGGAGGGAACGCGGGGAAGUGAAACAUCUCAGUACCCGUAGGAAGAGAAAAUAAGAAUGAUUCCGGGAGUAGUGGCGAGCGAAACUGGAUGAGCCUAAACCGUGUGCGUGUCAAGCGUGCUGGUGUUGCGUACAUGGUGUUGUGGGGUGUGUGUGUUCGGUUCAGCAUGACCGAGACGCUGAUGAGUGCUUACGUGUAGUCGAAGCUGGUGGGAAACAGUACCGGAGUGGGUGAGAGUCCCGUAGACGAAACGCGUGGCCCCGGUGUGACACGUGUCCCCGAGUAGCACGGAACUCGUGGAAUUCCGUGUGAAUCUGCCAGGACCACCUGGUAAGGCUAAAUACUUCCUGAUGACCGAUAGCGGAUCAGUACCGUGAGGGAAUGGUGAAAAGUACCCCGGGAGGGGAGUGAAAGAGUACCUGAAACCAUGUGCUUACAAUCCGUCAGAGCACCCGUGUUGGUGUGAUGGCGUGCCUUUUGAAGAAUGAGCCUGCGAGUUAGCGGUGCGUGGCGAGGUUAACCCGAUGAAGGGUAGCCGUAGCGAAAGCGAGUCCGA